AACUUAUUCCCUCCCAUUAUUUCCAAAAAUUUCAAAUCACGCGCCUUGAAUUAUUCCCACAAAAUUUUUAAAAAAAAAGAAAAAAGAAAAAUGGAAAACAGAAAUUAGGAAAAACACAAACACUUUCUACUCCACCAAAGAAAUAGAGAGGAGAGAGACUAAGAGCGUUUACAAAGUUAGGGUUUCGAAAGGUGAUUUGAUCUGCAAUUCACAAUUUGGUCCGAGCUUAAUCGAAUUUACAAAGUUAGGGUUUCGAAAGGUCUAUGGAGUUGAUCUGCAAUUCACAAUUUGGUCCGAGGCGUAAUCGAAUAUCUUGCAAGGUCUAGCCAUUGGUUGCGAAAAUUCUCUCUCUCAUGUCGCUUAAUCGAGUCAGAGGGUUAAAUUGGAGCAACUUACCAGGACAAAUUCUCCUUAAACCAGCCGAGUAAUUCACGCUCUUUUGGUUGGAUUGCUGAGAUUGUGAAGAAAGGUUUGACACCUUCUCAGAUUUGUGUGAUUUUGAGGGAUUCUCACGAGUUCGGUAUUGUAGAACGAGAAGCUGGAAACGGUGGUAUAUUUCAGCUUGCAUCCUCUUGGAAAUCUGGCAUAUAACUCUUGUAGAUUCUGGAAGUUGCUCUUGUUAUUUUUGGUAUCUAUUCCCUUCAACUCUUUAGAUCGAGUUCAUCAGUUCCUGUUGUACAUUAUCCUUGAAUGUGAUGAUACUUUGCCUUUUCAAAUAGAGUCGUCUUUGUACAUUAACCUUUAUGGGUCUUUCCCCGGCCUUCUCCUUAUAACUAAUCAAGUACAAUUGUGAAAUUACCAUUUUUCUGAUUAAUAAAUCAUGUGCCUACUACAUUUAUGUUUUCAGUCACUUGAUAUGUCAAUUUACGAAGGGAAUCCUGCUGAUGUUAUUCAUCCCAUGAGGCUUGAGUUUGAUGUUUUUGCAGCCUUAUUUUGUUUGCUGAGUUUUGUUGUAGUUGUUUAGUUUAUUCUUAGUGGUUUAGUUUUGUGGUUGGUUUCUUUUUACCGCAUACCUACUCAGCACAAAACAGAAUUAGAAUCAUCAAGAAUUUAUAUUUUAUUUAUUAGAAUCAUCAAGAAUUAGAAACACCUGUAGUUGUACUUUAUCCUUCCUUCACCCACUCCUCUGAUUUUAUGUUUAAUUUGCCAUUAUGUCCCCCAUACAAAAUAGAUGGCUGGCAUAACAUUUGUGUGACUUAUGUUUGUAUAGGCUUCUGUAGUUGUUUAUCAUUUUCUUCCCCCUAUUUAAAAGUUCAGCUUAUUACACUUUAGUUCAUAUCUGCAGUGUAAAACCUGUUUGUGGAAAGUCAUAUGCUUGGUAGUGUUUCAGCUAGUGAAAGCGAUUCCAAAGGAUGCAUCUAGUCGCCGCAUGUUAGUGAGCAAAACGGGCAGUCCGGGGGGACAAGUAGGACAAUUAACUAGUUUUGGAGCUGCUUGUCUAUUCUGAUAUGCAAAUGUUGUCCUGCACCUCCUGCUGAUGUUAUUGUUCUGCUCUUCUUCCGGUUUUGCAUUGUUCCUUCUGGGAUGCUUAAUGUUUCUGCUUUAUGCUAUGUUUACUGUUUCUGGAUAGAUGGGAGGUGGUGACAUACAACACUGUUAUACUCUCCUGACAGCUGCUACAAGAUCUUCCCAGAAAUCUGGCUGCCAUACAUUGACUACUUCAUCUCCCUUUCUUUUAUAAUUUACUUUUAAAUCCUCAUUGUGUUUCAUUUAUUUUUUAAAUCCUCUGUAAGUUGAUAUGCUGGUAAAAUAGUUAACUAUCUGAUUUUUCUCCUUGCAGACCUAGACUCACAUGGUUUGAGGGUCUGAAAUUGAUUUGGCUGGUUAUAUUAGAUUCAAUUGCAGUUUAUUUUGAGUGGUUCUGCAGUAACCACUUUUGAAUAAAUAUAUAUUGUUUGCUGGACAUAUAUAUAUUGUCUACAUUUCUGACAAUCAUCAUCUCAUAGAAUGGUUUUGCCAAUAUAUAUCAUCUCAUAGAAUUGUUUGCUGCACAGAUUCAUCAUCUCAUCUCAUAGAGCAUGGUGAGCUAAAUGGAGAAGAAAUGUAGAUCUAGCAAUGACAUGGUGGAGGCUCUUGUUUGUUUUUGAGUCAUUUUGUGAUUUCUAGUAAUGUACGUUGAAUUUGUUUAUGUGGAUUUUAAUUUUAUGCAUUUUGUCAUUAAAAACACUAAAUUAAUUAGUGAACGAUUAUUUUGUAAUGCAUGUGUCCUAUGGGCAUUAAUAUUAUAAUAUUACUCUUUAAGUCAAUGAAAAUCUUUUAUUAUUGA